GCACAGAGUGGGAGAGAAAGAGACUGAACAAGCUGUUCAGGAAGGGCAGCUCUGUCCUGCGCUGUCCUCUGUACUCUUUGGAGUAGGUGGCUGAGAGGAGGGUGUUAGCCAAGUUCAAAUCCAUCAAGGACAACACCUCUCACCCACUGCACCAGACUGUAGUGGAGCUGAGCAGCUCCUUCAGUGACAGACUGAGGCACCCUCAAUGCAAGAAGGAAUGAUACCGCAGGUGCUGCAUCCCCACC